rnacentral:tRNA from 1 species
GGGCCGUUAGCUCAGUCGGUUAGAGCAGAGGACUCAUAAUCCUUUGGUCCGGGGUUCGAACCCCCGACGGCCUACCA